rnacentral:rRNA from 1 species
UACGUAGGGUGCAAGCGUUGUCCGGAAUUAUUGGGCGUAAAGAGCUCGUAGGCGGUUUGUCGCGUCGGCUGUGAAAACCUGGGGCUCAACCCCGGGCCUGCAGCCGAUACGGGCAAACUAGAAUUCGGUAGGAGAGACUGGAAUUCCUGGUGUAGCGGUGAAAUGCGCAGAUAUCAGGAGGAACACCGGUGGCGAAGGCGGGUCUCUGGGCCGAUAUUGACGCUGAGGAGCGAAAGCGUGGGGAGCAAACAGG